rnacentral:pre_miRNA from 1 species
AUUAUCUGGAAAUCUUGUUAAAAUGCAGAUUCCAAUUUAGUAAAUACAGGUGGGGGCCUGAGAUUCUGGAUUUCUAAUAAGCUCCCAGGUGAUGCCAA